rnacentral:rRNA from 1 species
AACGUAGGGGACAAGCGUUAUCCGGAUUUACUGGGCGUAAAGCGCCCGUAGGCGGCCUGACAAGUUGGACGUGAAAGCUCCCGGCUCAACUGGGAGAGGUCCUUGCAUACUGGCGAACUCGAGGGAGGCAGAGGAAAGUGGAAUUCCCGGUGUAGUGGUGAUAUGCGUAGAUAUCGGGAGGAACACCUGUGGCGAAGGCGGCUUUCUGGGCCUUACCUGACGCUGAGACGCGAAAGCGUGGGGAGCGAACCGG